rnacentral:tRNA from 1 species
GAGGGUGCAGCUCAGUGGUAGAGUGCAUGGUUAGCAUGCAUGAGGUCCUGGGUUCAGUCCUCAGUACCUCUG